GCCUCCCUGGACUUUGGGCGAAAAUGGCAGCUGGUUCAUGAGCAUGUGAACAGGUUCUACUGGUCUGUAACGGGUCUAGACAAGUAGUCAGAUCUGGUUCACAUGGAGGCACACACCCCUAACGGACGUAUACAGUAUGUAACAUGCCGGGCUCUAACGUGCUCAGAGCCCAACAGAAACUAACCCUUCCCUGGAUACAUCGACAUCAGCUCACUGGUGGUCCAAGAUGACUAUAUGUU